rnacentral:rRNA from 1 species
UACAGAGGUCUCAAGCGUUGUUCGGAUUCAUUGGGCGUAAAGGGUGUGUAGGUGGCGCCGUAAGUCGGGUGUGAAAUUUCGGAGCUUAACUCCGAAACUGCACUCGAUACUGCGGUGCUUGAGGACUGGAGAGGAGACUGGAAUUCAUGGUGUAGCAGUGAAAUGCGUAGAGAUCAUGAGGAAGACCAGUGGCGAAGGCGGGUCUCUGGACAGUUCUGACACUGAGACACGAAGGCCAGGGGAGCAAACGGG